GAGGGUAUAGCUUAAGUGGUAAAGUGCAUGCUUAGCAUGCGUGAGGUCCUGGGUUCAAUCCCCAGUACCUCCU
rfam:Camelus ferus unplaced genomic scaffold scaffold293, whole genome shotgun sequence.